GACGAACGCUGGCGGCGUGCUUAACACAUGCAAGUCGAACGGAAAGGCCCUUCGGGGUACUCGAGUGGCGAACGGGCGCGUAACACGCGGGUGAUCUGCCCUGCACUUUGGGUUAAGCCUGGGACACUGGGUCUAAUACCGGAUAUGCUAAUCGGCUUCUCGGUCGGUGGUGGCGAGCUCUUGCGGUGUGGGAUGGGGUCGCGGCCUAUCAGCCCGAUGCUGGGGUCAUGGCCUACCACGGCGACGACGAGUAGCCGGCCUGGGCGGGUGACCGGCCCCACUGGGACUGAGGUACGGCGCAGAAUCCUACGGGGGGCAGCAGUAGGGAGGAUUGCACAAUGGGCGGAAGCCGGAUGCAGCGGCGCCGCGGGAGGGAGGACGGCCGGCGGGGUGUAAACCACUUCCAGCACAGACGAAGCGCAAGUGACGGUAUGUGCAGAAUAAGGACCGGCCAACUACGUG
rnacentral:rRNA from 1 species